UACGUAGGGUGCAAGCGUUAAUCGGAAUUACUGGGCGUAAAGCGUGCGCAGGCGGUUGUGCAAGACCGAUGUGAAAUCCCCGGGCUUAACCUGGGAACUGCAUUUGGGACUGCAAGGCUGGAGUACGGCAGAGGGAGGUGGAAUUCCACGUGUAGCAGUGAAAUGCGUAGAGAUGUGGAGGAACACCGAUGGCGAAGGCAGCCUCCUGGGCUAGUACUGACGCUCAUGCACGAAAGCGUGGGGAGCAAACAGG
rnacentral:rRNA from 1 species